rnacentral:lncRNA from 1 species
UUCAUGCAAAAAUUGAAGGAGCAAAAAUUGCUCCUUUUUAGUUAGGUUUGUUUUGAUUGUUGAGACUGACUCCUUUUCAUUAUUAUUAUUUUACACUUUUGACUUUUGCAGCAUUGUUAUUGUAUAUACAUCAAGUACUUUUCUUGAUUUCUUUGGGAAACAAAUAUAGUAUCCUCAUAAUAUCACUAUAAAAUUUCAAAGGUGAAUGUCUAAAACCUCCACCCUAUGUCUAUAUCAGGCCAAUAAUUUUGAAGAUUUGUAUUUGUUGUUAAUUAUCAUUCAUCUUUGUUAACAGUCUUAUACAAAAUAUGAACUUGCUCAAUUUAUAUACUGAACAUUGGUCCACACCUCCACAUUUUUUGAAUUAUGGAAAGUUGGUGCUCACUUUCUCAGUUAAUAAUUUUAUUGUCCUUUUGUGUGGGAGAAGAAAAACAUGUUUCAAAUUCGGUAAAAAACAUGUAUGAGUUGAAUGAAUGUUUUCUUCUUUGUUUGUGACUAUUUUUUUUUUUACACAAUUGUAGAUGGCAGAAACAAAAAAAGUUUAUUCUGAAGAGGUUCAACUUCUUGGUAGAUGACCAAGUUCUUUAUGUGGUGGCGUAUGUGAUAUCUCAAUACUAGGUCAGUGUAUGUGUUGUAACCUCUUUAGUUCUGUAACAAUGAAUUCUCUUAUGUACUUUGAUUAGAUUUAUUGGAACUACUCAGAUUAGUGGUUUGAUUUUACCACAUGUUAAUCAACCCGUGUUUACAUUGAUAUGUGAUUAGAAUGGAUUUGAUUGUGUAUGUUCUCUUUUAAUGUUAAUCUGAGAUUUUAAACAUAUUUCCUUUACUACCAGUUGUGUCUUUAGCUUCUUGAAUGUACCAUCUACAUUCCCUAUGGUUUUGUAGAUUCAUUUAGACUAGCAAUUGAUCAUUGCACACCCUGUUUCUCACAAUCCAAUAGUUAUCCUCAUCAAAAAUAACAUUGUUCGAAUUUACAACAUUUUGAUUCUUCACGGGACUCCAUACCCCUAUGCCUGGAUGCUAUAGCCGAUAAAAAUUAUGAUUUCAGAUAUAUCUUCACAUUGUUGGCUUAAGAAAGUAUCACACAAUUUCAAACACUCUAUUGUGUUUAGCUAAUUUUUGAUUACCAUACUAGGCUUAUAUUGAUAUUUUAUGAAAGACAACUAAUAGGAAUAUGAAAAUCAUACUCCAUAGUUCAAACUGUUAAGCGUAACUCAUGAUUAUAGUAUGUUCUAAAUUCUUGCAGUUAGUUGUAAGUUGUAACUAUCUCAGUUAGUUCGUAGCAUAAAAGUUAACAUUGUCAUUGUUGUUUCUUUAGGUAAUUAGGCUAUCCUACUAGCUUCCCAUAUAUGCUAUAAAUACAAUUGAGUACAUUGUUACAAACUGCACAUUAUUCUCCUUGACAUAUUCUUUUUUGUUUUUGGUACAAAUCUCCUUGAUGUGUUCUAACCUUAUUUUACUAUUAUUACUACUUUUUGUAUGAUUUUGGAUUUCUCUCUCUCACAAUGGUAGUUAAUACUAGGAACUUAUGUUCUUUUAUGGUACUGAAGCAACACAAAACUGCAGCCUCUGCGUUUAUCGUCAAGUUCAUUUUUAUUAUUAUUAAUUAAUUGUUUCAUGAUUAUUGAUUGUAUUUUAGCUGUUUGCAAUUGAUUGAGAUAUGGGUUUGAACCAUUUAUUUGUAGUUUCAUAGAAAAAGCAACAAGAUAGCUUCGUGAAUAUAACCCUUAGUCAGUACUAUUUUCACUUUGAAUAUGCAUUGUGGACUUUGAAUGACUAUUUAUUGUGUCUUUUUAUGACUAUUUAUUGUGU